rnacentral:lncRNA from 1 species
GUGAGUCUUCCAUUGCCUUUUGAUCUGGUGGUCCUUAUUCCUCCUCAAUCUAGGUAUUUAAAACCUAGAAAAUCAGAAAUUUUGCCCUAUUUUUCCCUUCCCCCUUCUUUUUCUCUUCUCUCCUCAAUUCCUCAAACCCUCCACCAGCUGCUACCUGUCACAGUCCGAUGGUGGACAAUCAACCCUAAAAUUUCACCAUAUAAUCUUCACAACCUCUUAUUUCCAUAUCUUCAAACCAAAUCCUUAAAAAAAAACCUUAAAAUACACGAAUAGUAGAUCUAAGAAAGCCUAGUCGUCAAUUUUUUCUUAAAAUUCGUGAAAUUUGAGCCAUAUUUUCCACCCAACACCUAUAUACAUGGACAGAGCUCGGCGAGGACUACUGUUUACAUUGGUCUCAAGCUGAAAAUCUAGCAAAAAAUCUGGCCAAAUUUCUACGACCACCCCCUGUCCGAAGCCAUUUUCUCGACCUAGGCACGUUUUUCUUUGAGAUAAAAAUGCUAGUUUCGACGGCCGUGUGACAAGAAAAUUAUAGUGGCAUUUUAUCUCAAAGAAAAAUGUACUCGAGUCGGCUGCCUCAUUGCGGAACCGAGUUUGGUAAAACUCCUAAUCCCUUUCUCUUUGUCUUAAAUUUUCUAUUUUUCUUAUUUGAUUUGUUAGUUUGUUUAGGUUUAAGUUCUGAUAAUGAUCAAUCCACUACUUCGUAUAGUAUUAUUUCUGAUUUCGACGCUUAGUUGGUUAUGUUGUGAAUAAUUGCUUCACUAUAAUACGUGGUUUGCCUAAUCAUAGGUUUUUAUUUUUUCCCUUGUAUUGAUCAUAUCAGUAUUAGUUUAAUUGGCUAAGUUCAAUGCUGAAUUUUCUGCUUUUACCGUUUGACUUGGUUUGUUAGUUUGAUAUUAGUUUGUGAAGGGUAAAAGGUAAAUGGUGAGCUUUUGUGAGUGAAUUUUAUUUCAGCAAGACCUUUCAAAAGCAUAAAAGUGUUGAAAUUGAUUGUUGGGAUCCUUCUUCUAUUAAAGUUACUAAGUUUAAGGAUGUUUUCUAGGCUGUUUCUCAGGUAAAAAGUUGCUGAUUUGCUGCUGGUUGUUGCUGUUUUGGCUGCUGGAAUUUCAUUUCAUUCUGCUGUAUUUUGGUAUUUUUUACAUUUCACGUAAUUCUUCAUCCUUUGUAAUGCAGAUUUGUAAUAGCAAUCAGUGAAAGUUUUAGCAUGUUUAUAUUAUUUGAGCAUCUUUAAAUGAGUUUGCCAGAAGUUCCAGUUUUGAAUCCGGCUUGGGGAUCAUAGUGUUAAAUCCAUGACUUUGCUGCUUUAUUUUUCCUCUAUAGUAUUUUUUUCAUCUUUUAAGUGGUAUUUCAAUAUAAUCUUGGCAAUAUUUUAGACAAGAAAAUAGUUUGUUAAAGAUUCAAUAAAGACUUUGGAGUGGACAAAAGCUAUGGAGUUUGUGAAAAAGUGUCUUGUUUGGCUUAAGAUCUCUGCCAUUUUGCUUGCUAGAAGUUGGAAUUAAUGAUCUAGUUUUAUUAUUCCCCUAUUGCAGCAAUGUUGUUUUCGGCUUUAGUUAAUUUCUCGUUACCCAAUUGUUUGUU